UCAGGCCUAACACAUGCAAGUCGAACGGUAACGGGCCUUCGGGUGCCGACGAGUGGCGAACGGGUGAGUAAUAUAUCGGAACGUGCCCAGUAGUGGGGGAUAGCCCGGCGAAAGCCGGAUUAAUACCGCAUGAGACCUGAGGGUGAAAGCGGGGGAUCGCAAGACCUCGCGCUAUUGGAGCGGCCGAUAUCAGAUUAGCUAGUUGGUGGGGUAAAGGCCUACCAAGGCAACGAUCUGUAGUUGGUCUGAGAGGACGACCAGCCACACUGGGACUGAGACACGGCCCAGACUCCUACGGGAGGCAGCAGUGGGGAAUUUUGGACAAUGGGCGCAAGCCUGAUCCAGCAAUGCCGCGUGCAGGAAGAAGGCCUUCGGGUUGAAACUGCAUUGUCAGGGAAGAAAUCUUCUGGGUUAAUACCUCGGGAGG
rnacentral:rRNA from 1 species